AUUGAACGCUGGCGGCAUGCCUUACACAUGCAAGUCGAACGGUAACGGGCCUUCGGGUGCCGACGAGUGGCGAACGGGUGAGUAAUACAUCGGAACGUGCCCGAUCGUGGGGGGUAACGAGGCGAAAGCUUUGCUAAUACCGCAUACGAUCUACGGAUGAAAGCAGGGGACCGCAAGGCCUUGCGCGGACGGAGCGGCCGAUGGCAGAUUAGGUAGUUGGUGGGAUAAAAGCUUACCAAGCCGACGAUCUGUAGCUGGUCUGAGAGGAUGAUCAGCCACACUGGGACUGAGACACGGCCCAGGCUCCUACGGGAGGCAGCAGUGGGGAAUUUUGGACAAUGGGCGCAAGCCUGAUCCAGCCAUGCCGCGUGCAGGAUGAAGGCCUUCGGGUUGUAAACUGCUUUUGUACGGAACGAAAAGCCUUCUUUUAAUACAGGAGGGUCAUGACGGUACCGUAAGAAUAAGCACCGGCUAACUACGUG
rnacentral:rRNA from 1 species